UACAGAGACUGCAAGCGUUAUUCGGAUUCACUGGGCGUAAAGGGUGCGCAGGCGGCCAAGUGUGUGAGGCGUGAAAGCCCGGGGCUUAACCCCGGAAUUGCACCUCAAACUACAUGGCUAGAGCAUUGGAGAGGGUAGCGGAAUUCACGGUGUAGCAGUGAAAUGCGUAGAUAUCGGGAAGAACACCCGUGGCGAAGGCGGCUCUCUGGGACGGUACUGACGCUGAGACGCGAAAGCGUGGGGAGCGAACAGG
rnacentral:rRNA from 1 species